CCUACUUUAGUCAUCAGUUAUUAAUAUUUUUCAAUUGCCUGAAGGCUGAACCAGCCAUUCCUCUUGAAGGUCAGUGCCCUAUGGGCGUUAAACUUCUUUUGUGCGGGAGCAAUAAUGGUCACGUGUGGCCAGACGAGAGUACCGUACGAAUAAGCAUCGGCUAACUCCGUGCCAGCAGCCGCGGUAAUACGGGGGAUGCAAGCGUUAUCCGGAUUUAUUGGGUUUAAAGGGUGCGUAGGCUGUGAGGUAAGUCAGCGGUGAAAUGCCCCCGCUCAACGGGGUGAAGUGCCAUUGAUACUGCCUUGCUGGAAUGCGGAUGCCGUGGGAGGAAUGUGUGGUGUAGCGGUGAAAUGCAUAGAUAUCACACAGAACACCGAUUGCGAAGGCAUCUCACGAAUCCGCGAUUGACGCUGAUGCACGAAAGCGUGGGUAUCAAACAGGAUUAGAUACCCGUGUAGUC
rnacentral:rRNA from 1 species